rnacentral:misc_RNA from 1 species
CGGAAAGAGAUGAGUUGAAAAUUAACAAAGCCCAAAAUUUAUACGCCUGAGAAAUCAGAAUAUACCCCCAUCCCUAAGUUAAAAGGCUCGAGCACAUCCUUUCCUUCGAUCUAGCUCUCUGUACAUAUUCGCGCCUUACCGUCGAAAAUCACUUGGUGCUAUCGCAUUAUCGGUCCUCUUGGACAAGUUCUUUUGAUUCUUCAAAUUCCGGUUUCAAAGUUUGCCUCUAUUUAUGUCGACUUCGAAGGCUGUCCGCUCCUUAAUAACGAGUAGAAAUGGUGCCAAAUACUUGAUCAGGUCGCCGAAAGACUAUAAUUCUAAAUUUGAUCAGAUUCGAUGUUAUAAUAGCAUUGUUGGCAUCUCAACCCCAUCGGUCGGUGGAGUAAUUGAUCGGAAGACGGAUUUUAGUUUCACAUUGGGAAGCUUAUACAAUAAGACUACUGCGUCUCAAAAGAGACGGUUUCUUGGCUGCGGAGACGGGGAGGAAGGUGGUGUUUUAUCCAAGGUUUAUGAAGAGAGGCGUGUUUUGGGGUAUUCUCCAGAGCAGUUAUUUGAUGUGGUUGCUGCGGUUGACUUGUAUCAUGGGUUUGUCCCGUGGUGUCAGCGGUCUGAGAUACUCAGACGCCAUCCAGAUGGAUCAUUUGAUGCUGAGCUGGAGAUUGGUUUUAAAUAUCUGGUUGAGAGUUAUGUUUCUCAUGUAGAAUUGAACAGACCUAAGUCAAUAAAGACAACUGUGUCAGAGAGUACCCUCUUUGAUCAUUUGAUAAAUAUUUGGGAAUUCAACCCAGGACCUGUUCCAGGAACUUGUGACCUUUUUUUUUUGGUAGAUUUUAAGUUCCAAUCACCACUUUACAGACAGGUAGCAUCCAUGUUCUUCAAGGAAGUGGUCUCCCGACUGGUUGGUUCAUUCAGCGAGCGUUGCCGUUUGAUAUAUGGACCAGGAGUCCCAGUCCUUGAGAACUCAUUUGGACAGAAGGCAUAAGAGCUUCAUAUCACAUAAUUUUAGUGCAGAAUAAGCUUCUGAGUAUAUUUUGAAAACUGGUGGUGUCAAAUGAACAAUCUCACUGGCCCCUCUGGGCAGUUUUUGUUUUAUUUGCUGCCCAGCCCAUGGAUCUUUUUGUUGAUUGUAAUUCAAGGCGUUAAUGUCUCCCUGCGCCACAUACCAAGAAGAUUAUAGCGUCUACCUUGCCACAUUAGGCAUUUUUUACCCUAAAGAUAUAUUCUGUUUGUGAUCAUUGGAUUAUUUCUAUAUGUACUCUUGCUGAAAUCCGAGUAAUAUAAAUGUGUACUUGCUCCGGCGACAUCAGAGGGAGCUGUUGAAACUCUAUCUUGUAUCCAUUAAUUUAAUUUGCUGAAAGGAAGCAUAGGUUGAUAACAUCGGACAACGCGGGCUUGUCUUUUAAAUUUUAA